GUAGGGAAUAUUCCGCAAUGGGCGAAAGCCUGACGGAGCAACGCCGCGUGAGUGAAGAAGGUCUUCGGAUCGUAAAGCUCUGUCAACAGGGACGAAACAAGACGGUACCUGAGAAGGAAGCCACGGCAAACUACGUGCCAGCAGCCGCGGUCAUACGUAGGUGGCAAGCGUUGUCCGGAAUAACUGGGCGUAAAGCGCAUGUAGACGGCAUGAUAAGCCAAAUGUGAAAUGUAGGGGCUCAACCCCUACACUGCGAUUGGAACAGUCAAGCGUGAGUGCAGGAGAGGCAAAUGGAAUUCCCAGUGUAGCAGUGAAAUGCGUAGAGAUUGGGAGGAACACCAGUGGCGAAGGCGAUUUGCUGGACUGCAACUGACGUUGAGAUGCGAAAGCCAGGGGAGCAAACAGGAUUAGAAACCCCGGUAGUCC
rnacentral:rRNA from 1 species